rnacentral:rRNA from 1 species
UACGUAGGGGGCAAGCGUUGUCCGGAAUCAUUGGGCGUAAAGAGCUCGUAGGCGGCUUGUCACGUCGACUAGUGAAAAACCUCGGGGCUUAACCCCGUAGCCUGCAGUGGAUACGGGCAGACUAGAGGUAGGUAGGGGAGAAUGAAUUCCCGGUGUAGCGGUGAAAUGCGCAGAUAUCGGGAGGAACACCGGUGGCGAAGGCGGUUCUCUGGGCCUUACCUGACGCUG